rnacentral:sRNA from 1 species
AUGACACUUUUAAAUAUCAAACCCAUUGCUUGGGCAUACUCUAUGAUGACAUUAGGGACUGAAAUGCUGAAUUCUGUCUUUGGUUUCUACUAUGUGAAACUUUUUCUACAUCUGUACAAGAUUUCAGAAGUGGCCUUUUAUCAAGCCCAGGUGAGAUGGAAUCUUUACACUGAAACAUCCUGUGUGUUUUUUUCUUCCUAAAUAAUUUUAAUGAUAUGGAAUGUUCUUAAUGACCUGACUGGAUAUUUUCCCAACAACUCUAAAGCCAAAUGCUGUUCAAGUCAUCAUAUUUCUGUCUUGUACUGUGUCCCUUUCUAUGCAGCAGCCUUCCUGCUCCCGUGGUUCCCUUGGAAAUACUAUCAAGAGGGUGAUUGGCUUAGUGGACUUCACCUGGUGGUAUCAUUAUGUGCGUUUGAUAGCAUGCCCACCUGUGUCCAACAAGCCCAAUGUAAACUGUUUGCAGAGAUUUUCACUAGACAUGAAAGUCGGCUUCAGCUUAUUAAAAUUAACCAAGUGGCAUCACUUGUGGGCUCUACCAGUAUCCUUUUCUAUGGCCUGAUCUCUAAUAACAUGGAAAUUUUGCCCCAUUUCCAGGCUGUUGCCAUCGUCAUUGCUUUCCUUGCUGCUGCCAGCCUUUACACUGGGAUGUAUCACGUGAGGCGUUUCGAACCUAAAAGAAGCCCCAGAGAGAACCUCCUCUUGGAAUCUGAACAGGGUCUCGCCCAGACUCCUGUCAUUUUAUCCGUGAGAUAGAUCUUGCCCAGAAAUACUUUUACCUUUUUCUGAUCAUGAAUUUCUUUCAAGUCUUUAAUUUAACCUUUUUCAGCAACUUCAUGAUGAUCUUUGCAGAUAUUCUCAUUCCCAGAGAUGUACUAUCUUCUUCUAUAAGGAGCAUUAUGUACGGGGCAGGCUUUAUUUGCCCACAGCAGUGCCUUGUACUUAUCAGUCAGUCCUGGCUGAAAAAGUUUGAUUACUAUAAGAUCAUCUUAAUUUCUUUCUAUGUAGAAGGAACAGCCUCCAUUGUAAUGUUACUCCUGGGAAAGCAAUACUAUUACUGUUUGGCUCUUUAUCUCACUAUUAUCAUGGUUAUCGUGUGAGCUUCGGUUUCCUUGUUUACCCUGCCACUAGCUGACAUGGUUGAUGCAGAUUUACUAAAGUUUAAUCAGCAGCCCCUUCCUUCAGUGGUUUUGGCAUUAAUGCUUUGUUUACCAAAUCUGCCCAGUCUUCAGCGCCCAUGGUGAUACUCUCUAGGCUAAACCAGUAUGAAUAUGGAAACACAAAUAGCAGG